rnacentral:rRNA from 1 species
UACGAAGGGGGCUAGCGUUGUUCGGAUUUACUGGGCGUAAAGCGCACGUAGGCGGAUUGGUCAGUUAGAGGUGAAAUCCCGAAGCUCAACUUCGGAACUGCCUUUAAUACUGCCAAUCUAGAGUCCGGAAGAGGUGAGUGGAACUUCUAGUGUAGAGGUGGAAUUCGUAGAUAUUAGGAAGAACACCAGUGGCGAAGGCGGCUCACUGGUCCGGUACUGACGCUGAGGUGCGAAAGCGUGGGGAGCAAACAGG